CGCCAGACUCCUACGGGAGGCAGCAGUGGGGAAUAUUGCACAAUGGGGGAAACCCUGAUGCAGCGACGCCGCGUGAGGGAUGAAGGUCUUCGGAUCGUAAACCUCUGUCAGCAGGGAGGAACGGUCACUGUGCUAAUCAGCAGUGAAUUGACGGUACCUGCAAAGGAAGCACCGGCUAAAUACGUGCCAGCAGCCGCGGUAAUACGUAUGGUGCAAGCGUUAUCCGGAUUUACUGGGUGUAAAGGGAGCGCAGGCGGCACGGCAAGCCUGAUGUGAAAGCCCGCGGCCCAACCGCGGGACUGCAUUGGGAACUACCGGGCUGGAGUGCCGGAGAGGUAGGCGGAAUUCCUAGUGUAGCGGUGAAAUGCGUAGAUAUUAGGAGGAACACCAGUGGCGAAGGCGGCCUACUGGACGGUGACUGACGCUGAGGCUCGAAAGCGUGGGGAGCAAACAGGAUUAGAUACCCUCGUA
rnacentral:rRNA from 1 species